AGAGAGAAGAGAGCAGAGAGAGGGGGAGAGAGAGAAUGUAGAGAGAGGGGGAGAGAGAGAAGAGAGCAGAGAGAGGGGGAGACAGAGAGAGAGAGAAUGGUAGAGAGAGGAGAGAUAAGAGAGCAGAGAGAGGGGGAGACAGAGAGAGAGAGGAUGAGAGAGAGAAGAGAGCAGAGAGAGAAGAGAGCAGAGAGAGGGGGAGACAGAGAGAGAGAGGAUGGUAGAGAGAGGGGGCAGAGAGAGAAGAGAGCAGAGAGAGAGAGAGAUACUUAGAGAGAGAGAGAGCUACAGAGAGAGAGAGAGAUACAGAGAGAUACAGAGAGAGAGAGAGAGAGAGAGAGAGAAGGAGAACUCUUCUACCUGUUGAAACCAUUGGCCCUUCUGCCUCUGGCUCCCCUCCACCACCUUUUAUUUAUGGUUGGUGGCUUGGUGUCUUUAACAG
ensembl:lncRNA